rnacentral:rRNA from 1 species
AAGAGAAAGCAGCAGCCACGGUAAUACGGAGGGUGCAAGCGUUAAUCGGAAUUACUGGGCGUAAAGCGCACACAGGCGGUCUGACAAGUCAGAUGUGAAAUCCCCGGGCUUAACCUGGGAACUGCAUUUGAAACUGUCAGGCUGGAGUCUUGUAGAGGGGGGUAGAAUUCCAGGUGUAGCGGUGAAAUGCGUAGAGAUCUGGAGGAAUACCGGUGGCGAAGGCGGCCCCCUGGACAAAGACUGACGCUCAGGUGCGAAAGCGUGGGGAGCAAACAGGAUUAGAUACCCCUGUAGUUCCUGUCUCUUAUAC